GACGAACGCUGGCGGCGUGCUUAACACAUGCAAGUCGAACGGAAAGGCCCUGCUUUUGUGGGGUGCUCGAGUGGCGAACGGGUGAGUAACACGUGAGUAACCUGCCCUUGACUUUGGUAUAACUUCAGGAAACUGGGGCUAAUACCGGAUAGGAGCUCCUGCUGCAUGGUGGGGGUUGGAAAGUUUCGGCGGUUGGGGAUGGACUCGCGGCUUAUCAGCUUGUUGGUGGGGUAGUGGCUUACCAAGGCUUUGACGGGUAGCCGGCCUGAGAGGGUGACCGGCCACAGGGGGACUGAGAUACGGACCAGACUCCUACGGGAGGCAGCAGUGGGGAAUAGUGCAAAAUGGGCGGAAGCCUGAUGCAGAAACGCCGCGUGCGGGAUGACGGCCUUCGGGUUGUAAACCGCUUUCGACUGUGACGAAGCGGGAGUGACGGUAAUGGGUAAAGAAGCACCGGCUAACUACGUG
rnacentral:rRNA from 1 species